AUCUUGCACAAGGGAUAGCAGCGGCAUCCUUUUUAAAAUUUCUGAUAAGAAUUUUAAAAAGAUAUAGCGGAUAGCCCGACCCGAA
rnacentral:sRNA from 1 species